rnacentral:rRNA from 1 species
UGGGGAAUAUUGCACAAUGGGCGCAAGCCUGAUGCAGCCAUGCCGCGUGUGUGAAGAAGGCCUUCGGGUUGUAAAGCACUUUCAGCGGGGAGGAAGGCGUUAAGGUUAAUAACCUUGGCGAUUGACGUUACCCGCAGAAGAAGCACCGGCUAACUCCGUGCCAGCAGCCGCGGUAAUACGGAGGGUGCAAGCGUUAAUCGGAAUUACUGGGCGUAAAGCGCACGCAGGCGGUCUGUCAAGUCGGAUGUGAAAUCCCCGGGCUCAACCUGGGAACUGCAUUCGAAACUGGCAGGCUAGAGUCAUGUAGAGGGGGGUAGAAUUCCAGGUGUAGCGGUGAAAUGCGUAGAGAUCUGGAGGAAUACCGGUGGCGAAGGCGGCCCCCUGGACAAAGACUGACGCUCAGGUGCGAAAGCGUGGGGAGCAAACAGG